UCACAUAAUAUAUAGCUCUGGAAAACUAGCAUUCACAACAACUGUACACAACACCAUAAACCACUACUGAGGCCUAGCUUAUAUAUGAUCGAUCCUUGUGACACCGGGAAGCUGUUUUCAUUAGAGUUUUCAAACGCUGCGGCUAUGAAAUCAAGGACACAACCAAAAUAUCAGUAAGUUGCUUGAGGAAGUGACUAAUGUGCAACAUCCGCAACCAAGACUGGAAAAUGAACUUACGGACAAGUUCGGAUAAGAGAGUACAGGGGUAUGCAGUCAUGAGAUGGAGAGAGCAUGUUGCAUCACAAGGUUUCGUAUCAUGCUGACAUCUUAACCUUUCCUUUUGUUUUACUUAUUUUAGUGUUUUUGGAUCAAGCAACAUUUUGUAUUAUGCCAUAUGCUAUACUCCUUAGACAUAAAAUGGAGUGUUCCCCUACAUACGUAUAGUUUCCUGCAUGUGCAUUAAAUUUGAACACUUUGAUUAGCAAUAUUUCCUCUUUAGUAAUCAAUGUCACAUCUAUGCAAAGUUGGACUGAAUA